rnacentral:rRNA from 2 species
CCUACGGGCGGCUGCAGUGGGGAAUUUUGGACAAUGGGCGCAAGCCUGAUCCAGCAAUGCCGCGUGCAGGAAGAAGGCCUUCGGGUUGUAAACUGCUUUUGUCAGGGAAGAAAUCUUCUGGGUUAAUACCUCGGGAGGAUGACGGUACCUGAAGAAUAAGCACCGGCUAACUACGUGCCAGCAGCCGCGGUAAUACGUAGGGUGCGAGCGUUAAUCGGAAUUACUGGGCGUAAAGCGUGCGCAGGCGGCUUUGCAAGACAGAUGUGAAAUCCCCGGGCUCAACCUGGGAACUGCAUUUGUGACUGCAAGGCUAGAGUACGGCAGAGGGGGAUGGAAUUCCGCGUGUAGCAGUGAAAUGCGUAGAUAUGCGGAGGAACACCGAUGGCGAAGGCAAUCCCCUGGGCCUGUACUGACGCUCAUGCACGAAAGCGUGGGGAGCAAACAGGAUUAGAUACCCCAGUAGUC